GAUGAAGAACGUAGCGAAAUGCGAUACGUAAUGUGAAUUGCAGAAUUCAGUGAAUCAUCGAGUCUUUGAACGCACAUUGCGCCCCCUGGUAUUCCGGGGGGCAUGCCUGACCGAGCGUCAUUGCUGCCCUCAAGCACGGCUUGUGUGUUGGGCCUCCGUCCUCCUCCCGGGGGACGGGCCCGAAAGGCAGCGGCGGCACCGCGUCCGGUCCUCGAGCGUAUGGGGCUUCGUCACCCGCUCUUGUAGGCCCGGCCGGCGCUUGCCGACACAUCAAUCUUUUUUCCAGGUUGACCUCGGAUCAGGUAGGGAUACCCGCUGAACUUAAGCAUAUCAAUAAGCGGAGGA
rnacentral:misc_RNA from 1 species